rnacentral:rRNA from 1 species
UACGGAAGGGGCGAGCGUUGUUCGGAAUCAUUGGGCGUAAAGGGCGCGUAGGUGGUUGGGCAUGUCCGCUGUGAAAGUACACAGCUCAACUGUGUCUCGUCGGUGGAAACUGCUCAACUUGAGGCUGGAAGGGGCUGGUGGAAUUCCCUGUGUAGCGGUGAAAUGCGUAGAGAUGGGGGAGAACACUCGUGGCGAAGGCGGCCAGCUGGACCAGUCCUGACACUGAGGCGCGACAGCGUGGGGAGCAAACAGG